AUCCAGAUGACGAGUCCCAAAUAGAACGAAACGCGAGUCCUGGAU
rnacentral:hammerhead_ribozyme from 1 species